UACGUAGGGGGCAAGCGUUGUCCGGAUUUAUUGGGCGUAAAGAGCGUGUAGGCGGUUUUACAGGUCCGCUGUGAAAACUCGAGGCUCAACCUCGAGCUGUCGGUGGAAACCGUAAGGCUAGAGUCCGGAAGAGGAGAGUGGAAUUCCUGGUGUAGCGGUGAAAUGCGCAGAUAUCAGGAGGAACACCGAGUGGCGAAGGCAGGUCACUUGGGCCGCAACUGAC
rnacentral:rRNA from 1 species